rnacentral:rRNA from 1 species
CUCCAACCCAUGUGAACGUUACCAAACUGUUGCCUCGGCGGGAUCUCUGCCCCGGGUGCGUCGCAGCCCCGGACCAAGGCGCCCGCCGGAGGACCAACCAAAACUCUUUAUGUAUACCCCCUCGCGGGUUUUUUACAAUCUGAGCCAUCUCGGCGCCCCUCGUGGGCGUUUCGAAAAUGAAUCAAAACUUUCAACAACGGAUCUCUUGGUUCUGGCAUCGAUGAAGAACGCAGCGAAAUGCGAUAAGUAAUGUGAAUUGCAGAAUUCAGUGAAUCAUCGAAUCUUUGAACGCACAUUGCGCCCGCCAGUAUUCUGGCGGGCAUGCCUGUCCGAGCGUCAUUUCAACCCUCGAACCCCUCCGGGGGGUCGGCGUUGGGGAUCGGCCCUUUACGGGGCCGGCCCCGAAAUACAGUGGCGGUCUCGCCGCAGCCUCUCCUGCGCAGUAGUUUGCACACUCGCAUCGGGAGCGCGGCGCGUCCAUUGCCGUAAAACACCCAACUUUCUGAAAUGUUGACCUCGGAUCAGGUAGGAAUACCCGCUGAACUUAAGCAUAUCAAUAAGCGGAGGAAAAGAAA